UCUCAGUUCGGACUGCAGUCUGCAACUCGACUGCACGAAGCUGGAAUCGCUAGUAAUCGCGGAUCAGCACGCCGCGGUGAAUACGUUCCCGGGCCUUGUACACACCGCCCGUCACACCAUGGAAGUCUGCAAUGCCCGAAGCCGGUGGCCUAACCACUUAUGUGGAAGGAGCCGUCUAAGGCAGGGCAGAUGACUGGGGUGAAGUCGUAACAAGGUAGC
rnacentral:rRNA from 1 species